GACAGGAUGCACGAUAUCUGGCAUCCUGUUCUCAGCAGCAAUGCAUAUGAUUGUGAAUUCAGUAGAUAAGAAGAGCAGUGGGCCAUGGACGAAGUCAGGUGUACGGCAACCACCAGGAAGAGCAUUCAUGGAUAAUAUGGCAAUAAGCACAAAGACAGUGAUUGAAGCCAGAUGAACAAUACAAGAGCUUGAUAAGAUGAUCAGUUUGGCAAGAAUGAAAGUGAAGGCUAGCAAAUUCAGAAGUUUGGUGGUGAAGAAUGGUAAAGCUAAGGAGAAAAGGUUUAAAAUAGCAGACGAAAUAAUACCAACAGUCUAAGAGUAGCCAGUUAAGUGCCUCGAAAAAUGGUUGAACAGCACCUUGUCAGAUAAGUUGAAUGUGGAAGAUACAUAUAAACAGUUGGACGACUGAUUAAAUGCAGUAGAUACGAGUGGAUUAAUAGGGAAAUACAAGGCAUGGAUUAACCAGCAUGGGAUAUUGCCUCGGCUGCUGUUGCUUUUUCUUGUGUAUAACGUAUCAAUGAGCACGGUAGAGAAAAUUGAAAGAAUAUCAAACAGUUACUUACGUAGAUGGCUUCGAGUACCACGCAGUGUGGGCAUGUACAAUAUAGGAAGCAAGUUACAGCUACCACUCAAGUCAAUCACUGAGGAAUUAAUGGUGACCAAGGUUAGACAACAUCUGAUGUUCAAAAACAGCAGGGAUGAGAAAGUACGAUCAGCAAAAGUAGAACUAAGAACUGGAAGCAAGUGGUCGACAAAGAAAACAAUAGAAAAUGCUGAGUCACGCUUAAAACACAGCAAGAUAGUUGGUAGAUUUGCCGUUGGAAGACAGGGGCUGGAUGUAACACCUACAGAAAAAUGGAGAACAGCAACAGGGGAAGAAAAAUAGACACCUGGUACAGAAAGAGGUACGAUCAAUGGAAGAAGAAAGUAGAAUGGUAAAGGCAGAGAGUAUGAAGAAACAAGAAAGCUGGUUGAACUGGGAAGGAGCAAGGCAGCUGAAGUAAGGAUGGAAUGAGAUUUGGAAAAUGAGCCACAUAGGUUGCAAUUCAUGCUGAUGUCAGUAUAUGAUGUAUUGACAAGCCCAGCAAAUCUAGUAACAUAGGGAUUGAUAGAUGACCCAAAGUGUGUUCUUUGCAGUAAGCCAGAAAACUUGGAGCAUAUAUUAUCUUCAUGCUCGAGUGCUUUGAAAGACGGGAAGUACACAUGGCGACACGACAAGGUACACUAUCAGACACCCUAGAGAGAAACACCAGGAAGCCAAGAAAGAACAAGGAAGGCCAUACCUUUGUCAAUUGUGUUACGGAAGGACAGAAAGGAUAGAAGAAGAGUGUGAAAGGAAGUGGUUUACUGGGAACAGCAACUGAUUGGCAAACGUUGGUGGAUCUGAAGCGGAAGUAACAAUUCCAACCACAGAUUGCAGCAACAAACCAGAGACAUGACAUUGUCAUUUUGUCAGCCUCAACAAAACAGGCAAUCCUGCUGGAACUAAGAAAGAAUAGAAUAUGCCAACGAAAGAAAGAGAUUGAAGUAUCAAGACCUUCUUGCAGAAUGUAGAGACAAUGGAUGGAGGGCUUGGUUAUUUCCAGUGGAAGUGGGAAGCAGAGGGUAUAUUGGAAAGUCUGUGGACGGCAUUAAGAACACUUGGUAUUGUUGGAGGGGAAAGAAGUAAGCUAAUUGGUAACUUGUGCAAAGAGGCAGACACAUCAUCAAUGUGGUUGUGGAGGAAAAGGACUGAGCAGUGGAAGCAGUAAAGUGUAGAGG
rnacentral:lncRNA from 1 species